rnacentral:lncRNA from 1 species
CUCUUCGACCGAGUGCGCAGCUUCAGGAGGGACACACAUGGAGCGAGUUCUCAUGAGAUCUGAUGGAUUAAAAGUGUGGCACUUCCUCCUUCACUCUCUUCUGCCACUUUGUGAAGAAGGCACUUGCUUCUACUUCACCUUCCACCAUGAUUAUAUGUGCAACAUCACCGUAGUCAAUUUCAGGCCAUUUGUAUCAACUCAAAAAGAAACUUAGUAUCCAUUAACUAACCCCCACCCCCAGCUACCACUCCCCAGGUAAAUUCUUAAGGCGUAAGGGUAAUUCAAAUAUUUGUGUGCUGUAAGUUUAAUGUCCCUUUCACAGCCUUUACUAGUAACUGUUUAAGUGUUGUCAGCAGGUUAAUUAUUCCUAGUUAAAAAACAUUUAAAGGUAACUUUCCAAUUAAAUAAUUUAGAAGGUGAAACUUCAAGACUGAGUGUUGUCAAUGUGUGUAUAAUGGUUAUAAUAUUUUCAUGCCACUUACUCAGGCAUAAAGAAGUAAUAUUUUUUAUGUUUGAAAUAACUCAUCUGAAUUUCUAUUUCAGUUCCUCAUGGCAGAACACAUAGUCUUGGUGCAUUCUGGGUAAACACAGUAAUUUUGCAAUUAAACCCAGUAACAUUAGUUGUAACUCUACAGGAUAGCAUUGGGAAGCAGUGACUGCUGGUUGUUGCCAUCUGUCCAGUUUGUCAUCUGUUUAGGUGCAACUUGCUCCAUCUGUCAGCUGGGCAUGCUUCUUCUCUACAUCUGCACCCCCUGAAUAGUAAGCCUUCUGAUUAGGAUUUGGUUUAUGUUCUGCACUGUUCCUGUCUAAAGAGAAAGCCCUUAAGGCUUCUUGUUCCUAGUUAGAGGGAGGUAGGAAAAUAAGGUUGCUUUCUUAAGCCACUUCAGACCUGUGGGGGACUGGGUGAGGUGGCAGCAGACACUCUCUGCCUCUAUCCCACAUGCUUCCAGGCAGCUUCUCAUCUGCUGUAGGAAACUUUUAGGACUUGGCUUAUUCCUCCAGGCCUCCACCAAGAAGAGAGCCUCUCCUUUCUACCAUCACACCCCCAAACUUCUCUGGAGCUUUGCAUUUACUUGCUUGCUUUUGAAGCUUACUCUUGUUUUAGAUGGUGGAAAGUUGGAAGAAGUGCAGGCCGCUGAGAUCAUUUUCAUAAGUGUCUGUUUUGCUUUUCCUUCAAUUCUUUUUGAGAACAUGAAUAGCAAUAUUGUGUGAUGUGUAGGAAUACAUACGUCACAGUCAUAUUAUAAAAACAUGUCUGGAAAAGGCAAACCCAAAUUCAAAUGAAAGUAACCUCCUACAAGGGUUAAGGAAAAAGAGUUUAUGAGAUAUUUGAAUUUAUUAAAAUUUUAGUUCAUAAAAUCAUUGUUACAUCUUUAUUUUGUUAAGAAUAAUGAAUCAUUUCUAAAUAUUUGGACUGUGUGCUUAAUCAGAGAGGAUGAGACAGUUAGCAGGAUAUGCCAUUUCAGCAAUACCCAAGUCAAAAACAGCCAAAACAUCUUGAUUAGCAUUAGAAAGGUCUGAUGACUAUAAAGACAUGGCAUAAUGUGACAAAUCCAAGAAUGGUUUCAGAGCAUAAUGAUAAAGGUUCCCUAAAUUUUCUUUCAGAAAUAAAGUAAUUAUAAUCAUGUAAUACAUUCCAAGCCUGAGUAUACGUGAAAUUGCUGUCAAAAUCUGCCUCAGGAUAUUUAAACUUUCAGUAAUUGUAAGUUUAAUUUCUAGUGAAGAGUACAUGUAUUCAGUUGGAAAUAAUUUUGCCUCCCAUAAAAUAGACCAAAUUAAACCAAAUUAGUAUACUUCAAGAGAAACCGAAUGCAAUAAUGUGAUUUUUUUCAGUAAAUUCUUCUGAAGUACAAUAUUGUGUCACUGCUUAAUUUCUUAAAUGUCCAGAGUUGUCAGAUAGGUUUUAACUUAUAUGGUACCUCCUGGGGAGCUGUGAGGAAAAUGAUUUUCAGGUUGGUUCCUGGCUUUAAGGAAACAGUACAGGAACUGAAUGAUUAAUGCCCAUUUUGUGUUGGGGGAUGCCUUGUCUGGCCUCAUUCCUAACAGUGGUGCCAUAUAGAUUAUAUUGUACACACCACUUUGGAUAACAUAUAAAUUUUGAUAUGAAUUUAAUUUUUUUUGAGAUGGGGGUCUCACUGUGUUGUCUAGGCUGGUCUUGAAGUCCUGGGCUCAAGCAAUCCUCCCAUUUCAGCCUCUCCAGUAGCUGGGACUACAGGCACACACCACCACGCCUCACUAUUAAUUCUAAUACGAUCUUGUAGAUGAACUGUAAUGAAACAAUGAGAGCUAGGAGAAUGAUUUGAGGAAUGAAUAACUUCAAUAUUUUGCUAAAUGAAAUCAUAAACAAAAUAUUGAUCAUUUUCUUUACUCAUUACAGAACCCUUGUUAACCCACUGCUCUGGGCAGGGCACAAAUCCUGUUUGCUUCAUGGCGUUCCUUCAUGCUCUCACUGAACUGUGGUCUUUUGUGCAAUAGACCACCAUGGCAAUGUGUUUGUAUCUUUCACUGACACUUUUCACAUUAUAUCUUUUAUUACUUAUUUAUCCUUGUUCCUCAUUAUUUUGUUUUCUUAUAUUAAUUAAUUUUUAAGUUCAUAAAAGUUGUAUAUAUUUAUGGCAUAUAACAUGAUGCUUUGAAAUAUGUAUACAUUAUGGAAUGGCUAAAUUGAGCUAACUAACAUAAGUAUUACUUCAUAUAUCAUUUAUUUGUGGUGAGAACACUUAAAAUCUAUUGUCUUACCAAUUUCCAAGUAUACAUUACAUUGUUAUUAGCAAUAGUUACCAUGUUGUAUAAUAGAUGUCUUGAACUUCUUACUCCUGUCUUCCUCAUAACUUUGUGAUAGUAACACUUUCUAGCAUUUGCAUUUUUGACAGCUUUAAAAAUUAUUAAAAGUUCAUUUACAUUGUCUUAUUCAGGUCUCACACAGACCAUGUGAUUCAGGUUAAUUACUCCCAUGUCAGUGAAUCAAGGGAUGUGAGAUAGUGCAAUGAGGCAGCUUCAGAAGACUUGGGUUGUAGUUUUCACUGUGUAACAUAUGAGUUUUGCAAUUGUGAAGAGGCAAUUUACACACUUGAAACUUCAGCUUUCCCUCCUGGAAAAUAUGUAAGGGGGACAUAGUGCUGUGGGGUUCAUUGCUAUGAGGCAUUAAUCAGAUAUUUAAUAACUUUCAAACACCAUUAAAGUGGCAUUAACAUACUACUAUUAAGAGAAUGUAGUAUCCCGGAGGGUAGUAAUUAUGUCCCUUUUUUAUCUGUUUAUUUUCCAGACACUUAGUGCAGCACCUAAUGAUGGUGCUCAGUGAAUAUUGGUUAAAUGGAUGAAUGGGACAGAGGUUGCCAAACUUUUUCUGUAAAAGUCAAGAUAGUAAAUAUUUUAGGCUUUGUGGGCCAUACGAUCUCUGUCACAACUACUCAGAGCUGCUUUUGUAAUGCAAAAGCAGCCAUAGACAAUAUGUAAGUAAUGAGCAUGGAUGUGUUUCAAUUAAAUUAUUUAUGGCCACUGAAAUUUGAAUUUUAUAUGAUUUUCAUAUGUCAUGAAAUACUCUCCUUUUGAUUUUUUCCCAACUAUUUAAAAACGUAAAAACAGUUCUUGGCUCAUAGUGUUACAGGGGGCGGGGGGAGGGGGGUCCUUGCUCCCAGAGCUCCCAAGAUGGUGGCGGGCCACCUCCAAGGUGGUGGCAAACCUCGUGUUCUCUGACCUGGUGUCACGGAUUCCAAAGAAUGGAAUCUUGAGCCAUGUGGUGAGUGUUAUAGCUCUAUUAGAAGCCGUGGGUCACGGAAGACAACCGUGGAACCCAGUGACUAGUGUUCAGCUUGAUUAGGACCAACCUGGGCACAUAGCUGUGCAGGAACAAUGGUGAACCUUUAGCUCCAUCGGGAGCAGCAGUGGGCACCUCACUGGAUCAGGAGCACAGCAGACACCCUGCCGGAUCCGGAGGGAUGGAAGUCAGCAGCGGGUCUGUGACAGCAGCAAACAGCAGUGGCGGAGGGCCAGCGAAAGCUCAGCUCGAGUAACAAACACGGACCAGAAGAGUGUGCAGCUGCAAGAUUUAAUAGAGUGAAAACAGAGCUCCCAUACAAAGGGAGGGGACCCAAAGAGGGUAGCCGUUGCCGGCUCCAAUGCCUAGGUUUAUAUCCCUAUCAUUGUCCCUCCUGCUGUGCUCUCAGGCAAUAGAUGAUUGGCUAUUUCUUUACCUCCUGUUUUUGCCUAAUUAGCAUUUUAGUGAGCUCUCUUUACUACCUGAUUGGUUGGGUGUGAGUUAAGUUGCAAGCCCCGUGUUUAAAGGUGGAUGCGGUCAUCUUCCCAGCUAGGCUUAGGGAUUCUUAGUCGGCCUAGGAAAUCCAGCUAGUCCUGUCUCUCAAUAGGUUGUACAAAAACGGAGGGGCCAGAUUUAUUUUAUCAAUCUCUGGAAUAAAAUAUGAAUAUCAGUUAAAUUAAGCAUGUAUCUGAAAUCUCAGCAUCACACAACAUACCCAUGUAAUAAACCUGCACAUGUAACCCUGAAUUUAAAAUUAAAGUUGAAACUUUUUUUAAAAAAUAAAACUUAUUAUGGUCAUUUUAUGAGCACUUUUUUAAAUAAUCUUAUUUGAAUAGACUAGAAAAUUUGGUCAUUCACUAAUAUGAUAUUGUGAGUAUAAGAAUCACAGAGGGAAAAAUCAAACUUACUGUAC